AAUCCGGUUGAUCCUGCCGGACCCUACUGCUAUCGGGGUGGGACUAAGACAUGCAAGUUGUGCGUCUCUAAGCUAUGGUAGAGACGCGGCAUACGGCUCAGUAACACGUGGCUAACCUACCCUUAGGACGGGGACAACCCCGGGAAACUGGGGCUAAUAUCCGAUAGGUGAGGAGGCCUGGAAUGGUUCCUAGUCGAAAAGGCGUUGAAACCAUGCUUUUCGACGUCGCCUAAGGAUGGGGCCGCGCCCGAUCAGGUUGUUGGUGGGGCAACGGCUCACCAAGCCUAUAACCGGUACGGGCCGUGAGAGCGGGAGCCCGGAGAUGGGCACUGAGACAAGGGCCCAGGCCCUACGGGGCGCAGCAGUCGCGAAAACUCCGCAAUGCGCGAAAGCGUGACGGGGCUACCCCGAGUGCCGUCCGCUGAGGAUGGCUUUUCCCCGGUGUAAUGAGCCGGGGGAAUAAGGAGAGGGCAAGUCUGGUGUCAGCCGCCGCGGUAAUACCAGCUCUCCGAGUGGUAGGGAUGAUUAUUGGGCUUAAAGCGUCCGUAGCCGGCUUAGCAAGUCUCCUGUUAAAUUCAGCGACCUAAUCGUUGAGCCGCGGGAGAUACUACUAGGCUAGGAGGCGGGAGAGGUCGACGGUAUUCUCGGGGUAGGGGUGAAAUCCUAUAAUCCCGAGAGGACCACCAGUGGCGAAGGCUGUCGGCUAGCACGCGCUCGACGGUGAGGGACGAAAGCUGGGGGAGCAAACCGGAUUAGAUACCCGGGUAGUCCCAGCUGUAAACGAUGCGGGCUAGGUGUUGGGGUGGCUACGAGCCACUUCAGUGCCGCAGGGAAGCCGUUAAGCCCGCCGCCUGGGGAGUACGGCCGCAAGGCUGAAACUUAAAGGAAUUGGCGGGGGAGCACCACAAGGCGUGAAGCUUGCGGUUCAAUUGGAGUCAACGCCGGGAACCUUACCGGGGGCGACAGCAGAAUGAAGGCCAGAUUGAAGGUCUUGCCGGACAAGCUGAGAGGAGGUGCAUGGCCGUCGCCAGUUCGUGCCGUGAGGUGUCCUGUUAAGUCAGGCAACGAUCGAGACCCGCACCCUUAGUUGCUACCGAGGAAGUUUUCCAAGGGGCACUCUAAGGGGACUGCCGCCGACAAGGCGGAGGAAGGAGCGGGCCACGGCAGGUCAGUAUGCCCCGAAUCCCCCGGGCCACACGCGAGCUGCAAUGGCAGGGACAAUGGGUUCCCACCUUGAAAAAGGGAGGCAAUCCCCAAACCCUGCCUCAGUUGGGAUCGAGGGCUGCAACCCGCCCUCGUGAACAUGGAAUGCCUAGUAAUCGCGCGUCAUCAUCGCGCGGUGAAUACGUCCCCGCUCCUUGCACACACCGCCCGUCGCUCCAUCCAAGUGGGGUUUGGGUGAGGCGUGGUCUUGUUGGCCGCGUCGAAUCUAGGUUCCGCGAGGAGGGAGAAGUCGUAACAAGGUGGCCGUAGGGGAACCUGCGGCCGGAUCACCUCCU
rnacentral:rRNA from 1 species